rnacentral:lncRNA from 1 species
UAAUGUUUUAAAUGAAUAAUGUCCAAAUUUUUUUAUUUAAAUAAACCUUAUAUACAUGGAAAAAAUUUUGUGCAAAUUUUAACAAAAAUUGCUAACCAGUAUGGAAUGAUGUUUUUCUAUAGUUGCCUGGAUUAGUCAAAUGGAAUCACUUUGGUAUUCACUCAGAGUAUGUGGAUUCAAAUCCAGGUCCCAUCUAGUUGGAAAAUUUAUAUGUGGGAUCCAAUCCUAGUCCAUCAAUGCAUGUCUCUACACCAACUUGUCAUCAAACUUCCUAGAUAUAGGUAGUCUAUGUAUGACUUGAAAUUGAUUUUGCCAUUUAAUAAUCAGAGAGUGAUUGAUACAAAAAAUAUCAUUAAUUAUAUGGGAAAUAUUAUUGUUGAUAAUUUGAAAUCGCUUGAAUAUCCCAGUACAGAGAUGUGUGAACUGGAGAAUUUGACUCCAUAUGAAACUGUAAAAGAAAUUCUCAAAGAGGAAUUUUUUUAUUCUGGUAGUUUUUAUCCUAAAAUAAUGUGCUCUUAACUGUUGUUCAUUUUAUAUAUUGCAUAAAAGUGGCCAAAUAAUAAAGGAAUCC